rnacentral:piRNA from 1 species
UACAAUUUGUUGGAAGAAAAACAAAAACCCA